UGUGCUUCGCACGGGCGCGAGGACCCCAGCCCGUCCGUCAGGACCGUUACUCGCCAACCGGCCGCGUCGCGUGCUGGGCGGGAGCCAACCGCCACUGGGGGCGGGGGGGGGGCGCGUUGAGAAGACCUCUUCGACCCCCGGGAGGCGGAGGGGGGUUUGCUUCUUUGCGCGAGAGCGGGGAUCCGGCCCAGGGUGGCGGCGGCGGCGGCGGCCACCCCCGCGACCACAGCGGCGCAGGCAACGGCAGAGCCCGUCGCUGCCGGAGGAGGGAGGUGCGGCGGCAGGAGGUCCGCCGAGGGGCCGGUCGCGGCCUGUCUGCGGAGCAGCUGCCUGUGUCGGAGCUGCCUCGGAAGGAGUCCGGGCUGGGAGGCCGCAAACGCAGGUCGGCCGCGGGGAGCUCCGCAGCUGCUCUGGCCUGGCCCGGCCUGUGCCGAGCCGCGUCUCUCUCGAGGCGGUGGCGUGAUUGUUCCGGGCCCCGGUGACGAUGUCGGCGGGAAGGCGCGAGAGGAGCCGGCGGGGCAGGACGGGCGAGAGGCUUUGCUGGGCCGCGGGGCGUCGUUGGGAAUGGUCUCAGGAAGCUCCUAAUGGCGCCAGAAAAUGGAAUAAUCAAAUCAGAUAAGGUAUUUGAAGUAAUGCUUACCACAGACCGUUGCCAUUAUGCAAAAUGCAACCCCUAUAUGGACUCUCCUCAGUCAAUAGGAUUCCAAGCAACAAUCAGUGCUCCACAUAUGCAUGCAUAUGCUCUAGAACUUCUAUAUGACCAGUUACAUGAAGGUGGCAAAGCCCUUGAUGUAGGUUCGGGAAGUGGAAUUCUUACUGCCUGCUUUGCACGGAUGGUUGGUCCCAAAGGACAAGUUGUAGGAAUUGAUCAUAUCAAAGAGUUGGUAGAUGACUCAAUAAACAAUGUCAGAAAAGAUGAUCCUUCAUUGCAGUCUUCAGGAAGAGUGAAGCUGGUUGUUGGGGAUGGAAGAAUGGGUUAUCCAGAUGAAGCUCCAUAUGAUGCUAUUCAUGUAGGAGCUGCUGCUCCAGUUGUGCCCCAAGCUCUUAUAGAUCAGUUGAAGCCUGGUGGAAGGCUAAUAUUACCUGUUGGACCUGCUGGAGGAAACCAGAUGCUGGAACAGUACGAUAAGCUAGAAGAUGGCAGUGUCAAAAUGAAGCCUCUGAUGGGAGUGAUAUAUGUGCCUUUAACAGAUAAGGAGAGAAGCAGCAAUUAAGGUGGGAAGGUGAUUUUCUGUCUCGAAUUUCUUCCUCUCCACAAUACACUUAGCAUUUCUAUACAAGGGAUGAAUUGUAAAUGCUACAUCAUCUGACCCAAACAUAGUGUUAACAGUGGAUUGCUCAUCUCCAAUUCUUAAAAAGCUUUUUCAAAACAAACGGCAUUGCAGCUUGUUUUGGACUUUGUUACACUGUUAUCAGCAUGGAAAAGUGUGUUGUUCUUUAAUUUUAUUUUGUAGUUGUUUAAUGCAGCUUUGGUAAACAACUGAUGAAAACUCUGGAUUUUGGUAAUAUUACUUUUCAACACCCCCUUACUGUCACCUGUUUGAUGAAUUGAAGGGUAUCUCCAAAUAGUCCUCCAAUUGGCUAUCUUUGUAUUUUUAGUGAGAGACAUUUUUGAACACUUGUUUCAGCUCCAGUGUUCCUCCAACCAGCUGCUUAUCUGCACUUUCUGACACUACAUGCACACUCAAAGAUUCUUUGUGUUCAGCUGGCUCUUAGAUGCUAUUAAAAUGUGAUGAAUUUCCUCCUCAAAGCUUUCAAUGUGGUGUCAUAGAACUAGCAUGUAGUAUACACAAUCAGCUUCUUUAAAAACAGAUGUGUAUAUAAACUUUCAGGGCAACAGAAGUGACAGUUCUUGAUGUAUAGCCUGCUGUUCAGGAUGGACAUAACUGACAUAGUUUUCCUCUCCCUUAACUUUUAGACUAAUUUAGAGAUUCAUAGUUCAGUAUUGUUUUCUAGCUGACUUGCAGAACUGAUGUGUCGGAAUUUAAUAUAAUAAAUACUGUGUAAGCUAUGUCCUAAUCAUUGAACAGAUUAUGCAGUGCUGCUUUGCCAAAUAAAAUUACGCAAAACAAAAA